UAGCGGCAAGAGCUCAAAUUUGAAAGCUGGCUCCUUCGGAGUCCGCAUUGUAAUUUGCAGAGGAUGCUUUGGGUGCGGCCCCCGUCUAAGUGCCCUGGAACGGGCCGUCAGAGAGGGUGAGAAUCCCGUCUUGGGCGGGGUGUCCGUGCCCGUGUAAAGCUCCUUCGACGAGUCGAGUUGUUUGGGAAUGCAGCUCUAAAUGGGUGGUAAAUUUCAUCUAAAGCUAAAUACUGGCCGGAGACCGAUAGCGCACAAGUAGAGUGAUCGAAAGAUGAAAAGCACUUUGAAAAGAGAGUUAAACAGCACGUGAAAUUGUUGAAAGGGAAGCGCUUGCGACCAGACUCGCCCGCGGGGUUCAGCCGGCAUUCGUGCCGGUGUACUUCCCCGUGGGCGGGCCAGCGUCGGUUUGGGCGGCCGGUCAAAGGCCCCUGGAAUGUAGUACCCUCCGGGGUACCUUAUAGCCAGGGGUGCAAUGCGGCCAGCCUGGACCGAGGAACGCGCUUCGGCACGGACGCUGGCAUAAUGGUCGUAAACGACCCGUCUUGAA
rnacentral:rRNA from 1 species